GGGCUUGACAUCCCACGAACCUGCCUGAAAGGGCGGGGUGCCCGCAAGGGAGCGUGGAGACAGGUGGUGCAUGGCUGUCGUCAGCUCGUGUCGUGAGAUGUUGGGUUAAGUCCCGCAACGAGCGCAACCCUCACCCCUAGUUGCCACCGGGUAAAGCCGAGCACUCGAGGGGAACUGCCAGCGUCAAGCUGGAGGAAGGCGGGGAUGACGUCAAGUCAUCAUGCCCCUUACGUCCUGGGCUACACACGUGCUACAAUGGCCGGUACAAAGGGACGCGGGACCGCGAGGUGGAGCCAAUCCCAAAAAACUGGUCUAAGUUCAGAUUGCAGUCUGCAACUCGACUGCAUGAAGGAGGAAUCGCUAGUAAUCGCGCAUCAGCACGGCGCGGUGAAUACGUUCCCGGGCCUUGUACACACCGCCCGUCACACCACGAAAGCUGUCUGUACUCGAAGUCGCUGAG
rnacentral:rRNA from 1 species